GGCGAGGUGGCCGAGUGGUUAUGGCGUAAGUUCCCCACACCACGAGCAUCACCUCCAACAUUCUCUAACAACCUCAAUAGGCUAGUUUCAGGACAUCUCUCAAGGGAGUUCCGAAGCGGAUUACUAGUGGAGCAAUCCUCGUGGGUUCGAGUCCCACCCUCGUCA
rnacentral:tRNA from 1 species